rnacentral:rRNA from 1 species
CCUACGGGAGGCAGCAGUGAGGAAUAUUGGUCAAUGGCCGAGAGGCUGAACCAGCCAAGUCGCGUGAAGGAAGACGGCCCUACGGGUUGUAAACCUCUUUUGUCAGGGAACAAAGAGAGUCACGUGUGACUCAUUGAGAGUACCCGAAGAAUAAGGAUCGGCUAACUCCGUGCCAGCAGCCGCGGUAAUACGGAGGAUGCGAGCGUUAUCCGGAUUUAUUGGGUUUAAAGGGUGCGCAGGGGGGGGUGAAAGUCAGCGGUAAAAUUGCGGGGCUCAACCCCGUACUGCCGUUGAAACUGCAUCCCUUGAGUGCGCGAGAGGUAUGCGGAAUGCGUGGUGUAGCGGUGAAAUGCAUAGAUAUCACGAAGAACUCCGAUUGCGAAGGCAGCAUACCGGCGCGCAACUGACGUUCAUGCACGAAAGCGUGGGUAUCGAACAGGAUUAGAUACCCCAGUAGUC